GAUGAACGCUGGCGGCGUGCUUAACACAUGCAAGUCGAACGAUGAAGCCCAGCUUGCUGGGUGGAUUAGUGGCGAACGGGUGAGUAACACGUGAGUAACCUGCCCUUGACUCUGGGAUAAGCCUGGGAAACUGGGUCUAAUACUGGAUAUGACUUCUCAUCGCAUGGUUGGGGGUGGAAAGUUUUAUUUGUCUUGGAUGGACUAGCGGCCUAUCAGCUUGUUGGUGAGGUAAUGGCUCACCAAGGCGACGACGGGUAGCCGGCCUGAGAGGGUGACCGGCCACACUGGGUCUGAGACACGGCCGAGACUAAUACGGGAAGAAGUAGCGGGGAGUAUUGAACAACGCGCGCAAGCCUGAUGAAGAGACGCCGAGUGAGGAAUGACGGCCUGCGGGUAGUAAACCUCUUUCAGUAGGGAAGAAGCGAGAGUGACGGUACCUGCAGAAGAAGCGCCGGCAAACUACGU
rnacentral:rRNA from 1 species